UCUGUAAAUUUCUUCUUAUAUGCAAAUGAGCUGAAAAUGUAUUGAAAUGACUAGAUCAGAAGUUUAUGCCUUUCUAGUAAGUUUUUCCCUACCUUUGACGAUAGUUAUUAAAAAGUAUAGAUAUCAACCUCUUUGCUGAUAUUAGUACCUAAAAUUUUCAGCCUGUGAAUAGCUGUGGAAAUUUGGGAUUUCCUUUUUUUGAAGAUAUAAAUAGAUCUAAGCUAUAUUUAGACUAAAGUUUUUUUCAGUAUAACAGCAUGUAGAGAACCCUUACAUACAGUCAAAUAUUCUUGAUAUUGCAAGGAAAUAUAAUACAUUUUUCAAGUGCUUGCUGUUUCUUAUGUUGUGCAUACUUGAUAUAGGUCAUUGUCAAUGUCAACUAUCAUUAUACUGACAUUUGAAGUUGUUGUUUUUUUCUAAAUUACCUCCCUUAUAUAUGCAUUUUUCUUCAUUCAUUUUAUUGAUAAUUACUUCCCUUUAUGUUUAGCAAAAAUUCUCAGAUUGCAUUUAAUUAACUCCCUUUAUUUAACACGAAAAAUUCUCUUGUGUAAUGAUUAUUUGUAUAUUUUAUUUUCAGUGUCUGAUACAUGUAGUUGCAGUCUGUCUUUGGAAGCAGUAGAAAUAACAAGAAAGGGACUGACAUAGUGUUUUGGUAGGGAAAAGUUUGAGUAUGUACAUGUACAGUUGUUUGACCUGUCUUACCCUGUGGCAGUCCAAGCAGAUGUUACCAUUAUGAAAAAUGCAGGAGAACUUGAAGACAAUGGUUAGUGCAGAAGGGACAUAAAGGUUAUGAUAAAAGUAACAGAUAUAAAUAAGGUAAACUAUUGUGAUAAAAAGACAUGGCCAGUGCUGCACAUCACAAAGGCAAUAUUUGAAUUUAAUUUUUUGUCACUUAUGAGUUCUGUAAAGCUGAUUUUGCAA